GGCAUCGAAGAUCAAGGACGGUUAUCACAACUGUCUGAGGCGUGGUCAAGCAUGAUCUAUAUAAAGUAAAGCGAUCGUUUCAUAACCAUCACUUGAGAAAUCUCAUCUGAACUCAAACAAAAUGUUCUUCAGAAUCCUCGCUUUCUUCGCUCUCGUGGCGGUGGCGUUCGCUAACCCCAAACCAGACCCUCAGGUUGUUGCCUACACCGCCCCCGCUGUGGUUCCUGCUGCGUACUACACACCUGGAUUUGUCCCCACUGCCUAUGCCGCCGCGGUUCCUUACGCAUACAACUAUUUCAUUAAAUAAUUCCACAUCAAGAACUUUACAUUUCUACGAAAACCGCUUUACUAUCCUUUUUUUAGCACAUUCAUAGCUUUAUUUUUGUAAAAUAUGUUUCGUUUCCACCAAAUCGACCCGAGCGCGAUAAUUGACUUCGUUGUGCCAAAAGUAUUAAUAAAAUGAUAGAACAAU